rnacentral:ncRNA from 2 species
UUGCACUACUGGGGGAGCCGGUUUGUUCCGGCUGAGAGAAAAGGAGCACUUUUUGACCCUUGGGACCUGAUCUGGAUUAUGCCAGCGUGGGAAAGUAGCCAAGUGGAUCC